rnacentral:rRNA from 1 species
GUGCCGGAGCUAACGCGGUAAGUCUGCCGCCUGGGGACUACGGCCGCAAGGCUAAAACUCAAAGGAAUUGACGGGGCCCCGCACAAGCAGCGGAGCGUGUGGUUUAAUUCGAGGCUACGCGAAGGACCUUACCUGGGUUUGACAUACACGUAGUAGGGAUCCGAAAAGUGACCGACCCUUCGGGGAGCGUGUACAGGUGCUGCAUGGCUGUCGUCAGCUCGUGUCGUGAGAUGUCCGGUUAAGUCCGGUAACGAGCGCAACCCUUGUCCUGUGUUACAAGUGUCACAGGAGACUGCCGGUAUAAAGCCGGGGGAAGGUGGGGAUGACGUCAAGUCAGCAUGGCCUUUAUAUCCAGGGCUACACACACGCUACAAUGGCUGGUACAAUGGGUCGCAAAACCGCGAGGUGGAGCCAAUCCUCAAAGCCAGCCUCAGUUCAGAUUGCAGGCUGCAACUCGCCUGCAUGAAGUCGGAGUUGCUAGUAACCGCAGGACAGCUAUACUGCGGUGAAUACGUUCCCGGGGCUUGUACACACCGCCCGUCACGUCAUGGGAGCUGGUAACGCCUGAAGUCGGUGACCCAACCGCAAGGAGGGAACCGCCUAAGGUGGGACUGGUGACUGGGACG